rnacentral:lncRNA from 1 species
CCCCGCAAGAGAUCUACGCUGUGGUAAUUUUCACGACUUCAAAAGAACGGAUGGAUACUCGAUCUUGCCCAUCUUUUGAUUAAUUAAUAUAGCGGCCAUAAACAAUAAGAAGCAGCAGGGUGGCAGUCAUCCUUAAAAUAUUAGAAAAAUCAUACUAUAUCACCGACUAGGAUAAUAUCAUGUCCCUUUCCAUACUUCAAGAACGAGCAGUUGGGAUUUUACAUGUGACCAC